rnacentral:rRNA from 1 species
AUCCUGGCUUAGGAUGAACGCUAGCUACAGGCUUAACACAUGCAAGUCGAGGGGCAGCAUUGGGAUAGCUUGCUAUCCAGAUGGCGACCGGCGCACGGGUGAGUAACGCGUAUCCAACCUUCCCUAUAGUAGAGAAUAGCCCGGCGAAAGUCGGAUUAAUGCUCUAUGUUGUGUUUUGAGGACAUCUGACGAACACCAAAGGUUCACCGCUAUAGGAUGGGGAUGCGUCUGAUUAGCUUGUUGGCGGGUAACGGCCCACCAAGGCGACGAUCAGUAGGGGUUCUGAGAGGAAGGUCCCCCACAUUGGUACUGAGACACGGACCAAACUCCUACGGGAGGCAGCAGUGAGGAAUAUUGGUCAAUGGGCGAGAGCCUGAACCAGCCAAGUAGCGUGCAGGAACCGACUGCCCUAUGGGUUGUAAACUGCUUUUAUCAGGGAAUAAAGUGCGGCACGUGUGCCGUUUUGUAUGUACCUGAUGAAUAAGGACCGGCUAAUUCCGUGCCAGCCGCUGC